UGGGGAAUAUUGGACAAUGGGCGAAAGCCUGAUCCAGCCAUGCCGCGUGUGUGAAGAAGGUCUUCGGAUUGUAAAGCACUUUAAGUUGGGAGGAAGGGCAUUAACCUAAUACGUUAGUGUUUUGACGUUACCGACAGAAUAAGCACCGGCUAACUCUGUGCCAGCAGCCGCGGUAAUACAGAGGGUGCAAGCGUUAAUCGGCAUUACUGGGCGUAAAGCGCGCGUAGGUUGUUUGUUAAGUUGGAUGUGAAAUCCCCGGGCUCAACCGGGGAACUGCAUUCAAAACUGACUGACUAGAGUAUGGUAGAGGGUGGUGGAAUUUCCUGUGUAGCGGUGAAAUGCGUAGAUAUAGGAAGGAACACCAGUGGCGAAGGCGACCACCUGGACUAAUACUGACACUGAGGUGCGAAAGCGUGGGGAGCAAACA
rnacentral:rRNA from 1 species